AUGAGAGAGUACAAAGUGGUGGUACUGGGCUCGGGUGGCGUGGGCAAGUCCGCGCUCACCGUGCAGUUCGUAACAGGUUCCUUCAUCGAGAAGUACGACCCAACCAUUGAAGACUUUUACCGCAAGGAGAUCGAGGUGGAUUCGUCGCCGUCGGUUCUGGAGAUCCUGGACACCGCGGGCACGGAGCAGUUCGCUUCCAUGCGGGACCUGUACAUCAAGAAUGGCCAGGGCUUCAUCCUCGUCUACAGCCUGGUCAACCAGCAGAGCUUCCAGGACAUCAAGCCCAUGCGGGACCAGAUCAUCCGCGUGAAACGGUACGAGCGCGUACCCAUGAUCCUGGUAGGCAACAAGGUGGACCUGGAGGGCGAACGUGAGGUCUCCUAUGGCGAGGGCAAGGCCCUGGCCGAGGAGUGGAGCUGCCCCUUCAUGGAAACAUCGGCCAAAAACAAAGCCUCAGUGGAUGAGCUAUUCGCAGAGAUCGUGAGGCAGAUGAACUACGCGGCACAGCCCAACGGCGACGAGGGCUGCUGCUCGGCCUGUGUGAUCCUGUGAGGCGCUGUCUGCCGCCGGGCGCUGGCCACGCUCUGUGCACAAAGCCAAACGCACCCGAUUCUCUUAAUGUGAUUGUCUUCUUGCUUUGAGAUUGGAGACGACUUUGUUGUAUUGGCUGGGAUGUCCGAGGAACCUGGCUGACUUGUGUGGCCAGCAUCCCUAGCCUUCAGCUGUGGUCCGAGGGGGUGUCCGUUGCUGAGCAUCUGAGACCCUGAUGGAAAAAUGGCUCUAUACAGCGUGUACGUUCCUCGUUGAUUUUGGUUAAUGCAUUUUUCCCCGUUAAAGUAGCCAUUAAGGCUCUGUAUUGGCUGCUUGACACCGGCAAGCGAAAGUUUCAAGCCUGGAAAAAAAAAUGGGGGUGGGGAAGCAGAGGAAGUGGAGGGGAAGGAGGCAGUGGGGGAGGGUUCCCCCAAGCAACUGUUCACAGUUCCAAGUUUUAACACAAGGAAAGAGGUCCCAGAAAAUCAUACGAAGGAGCCNG
rnacentral:lncRNA from 1 species